rnacentral:misc_RNA from 1 species
GAUGAAGAACGUAGCGAAAUGGGAUAAGUAAUGUGAAUUGCAGAAUUCAGUGAAUCAUCGAAUCUUUGAACGCACAUUGCGCCCGCCAGUAUUCUGGCGGGCAUGCCUGUCCGAGCGUCAUUUCAACCAUCAAGCCCCGGGCUUGUGUUGGGGACCUGCGUCCGACGCAGGCCCUGAAAACCAGUGGCGGGCUCGCUGUCCACACCGAGCGUAGUAACUAACCUCGCUAUGGAGUGGCGCGGGCGCCUGCCGUAAAACCCCCAAUUUCACAAGGUUGACCUCGGAUCAGGCAGGAAUACCCGCUGAACUUAAGCAUAUCAAUAAGCGGAGGA